UAUUAUGUGCCUUUUAAAAAUAGUAAGUGUUCCUACUUAUGUAGUUAAAUAGCAUUUUGUUGAAUUAGAAUACAUGUAAGUCCAAACUGCCAAAGUACCCAGAUUUUAUUUUAGCUGUGCUAAUAAAGUAGGAGGUGCCUUGCAUGAAAUGGGCAUCGUUUUCCUCUACUUUUAUAAGCUGACAUUUCUACAUGUCUCAAAGUUAUGCAAAGUCUCAGAACUGACUCUGAAUGCAUGCAGUUCCAGAUUGGUAAACUGAAAUGUUUUUUAUAAUGGCUGCACAUAUUUGGUGAUGUCCCUUAUGACAAUUGUUUAUUAUUAUUAUUAUUAUUAUUGGAAUAGAUAAAUGUAAUGUUUUAUAACUCUAUAUGUGAAAUACUUGCUAGCUCUUAAAAAAACCAUACAGUAAAAUGUUUUCCGUGGAUUUACUCAUAGAUUUUAGAAAACAUUACAUUUCUCUAUGAGCCUCUGAAGUGAAUAUACCCUUUAUCUUUAUAGCCCCCUAAAGCACAAUAUAGGUCCAUAUCUCAUUAAUGUUGCAGUAGACUGGGUUUUAUAUCAAACCAUUAUGUGUGCAUAUAGUAUGGGAUGUCCCUUAUGAGAACUGACCAUUGUUUUUUUCUACUUAUUAGAAAUGGGAUCUUUAAAGCCCGUUAAAGUGUAAUAAUGUCCCAUAUCUCAAAAGUCCUGCAGUAAAAUGGUUUGAUAUGAGGUGUGCAUAUAGUAUGGGACGUCCCUGAUAAGAACUGACCAUUGUUUUUUUCUACUUAUUAGAAAUGGGAUCUUUAUAGCCCUUUAAAGUGUAAUAAUGUCCCAUAUCUUGAAAAUGCUGCAGUAAAAUGGUUUGAUAUGAGGUGUGCAUAUAGUAUGGGACAUCCCUGAUAAGAACUGACCAUUGUUUUUUUCUACUUAUUAGAAAUGGGAUCUUUACAGCCAUUUAAAGUGUAAUAAUGUCCCGUAUCUUGAAAAUGCUGCAGUAAAAUGGUUUGAUAUGAGGUGUGCAUAUAGUAUGGGACGUCCCUGAUAAGAACUGACUAUUGUUUUUUUCUACUUAUUAGAAAUGGUGUCUUUAUAGCCCUCUAAAUCAUUGUAUUGUCCCAUAUCUGAAAAAUGCUGCAGUAAAAUGGUUUGAAAUGAGGUGUGCAUAUAGUAUGGGACAUCCCAGAUAAGAACUGACUGUUGUUUUUUUCUACUUAUUAGAAAUGAUGUCUUUUUAGCCCUCCAAAUCACCAUUUGGACCCAUAUCUCGAAAAUGCUGCAGUAAAAUGGUUUGAUAUGAGGUGUGCAUAUAGUAUGGCAUGUCCUUUAUAAGAACUGACCAUUGUUUUUUUCUACUUAUUAGAAAUUAUGUCUUUAUAGCCCUCCAAAUCACCAUUUGGACCCAUAUCUCAAAAAUGCUGCAGUAAAAGGGUUUGAUAUGAGGUGUGCAUAUAGUAUGGGAUGUCCUUUAUAAGAACUGACCAUUGUUUUUUUCUACUUAUUAGAAAUGAUGUCUUUAUAGCCCUCCAAAUCACCAUUUGGACCCAUAUCUCAAAAAUGCUGCAGUAAAAGGGUUUGAUAUGAGGUGUGCAUAUAGUAUGGGAUGUCCUUUAUAAGAACUGACCAUUGUUUUUUUCUACUUAUUAGAAAUGAGAUCUUUAUGACCCUUUAAAUUGUAAUAAUGUCCCAUAUCUUGAAAAUGCUGCAGUAAAAUGGUUUGAUAUGAGGUGUGCAUAUAGUAUGGGACAUCCCUGAUAAGAACUGACCAUUGUUUUUUUCUACUUAUUAGAAAUGGGAUCUUUACAGCCAUUUAAAGUGUAAUAAUGUCCCAUAUCUCGAAAAUGCUGCAGUAAAAUGGUUUGAUAUGAGGUGUGCAUAUAGUAUGGCAUGUCCUUUAUAAGAACUGACCAUUGUUUUUUUCUACUUAUUAGAAAUUAUGUCUUUACAGCCCUCCAAAUCACCAUUUGGACCCAUAUCUCAAAAAUGCUGCAUUAAAAUUGUUUGAUAUGAUGUGUGCAUAUAAUAUGGGACGUCCCUGAUAAGAACUGACUAUUCUAUUUUUCUACUUAUUAGAAAUGGGAUCUUUAUAGCCCUUUAAAGUGUAAUAAUGUCCCAUAUCUCAAAAAUGCUGCAGUAAAAGGGUUUGAUAUGAGGUGUGCAUAUAGUAUGGGAUGUCCUUUAUAAGAACUGACCAUUGUUUUUUUCUACUUAUUAGAAAUGGGAUCUUUAUGACCCUUUAAAUUGUAAUAAUGUCCCAUAUCUUGAAAAUGCUGCAGUAAAAUGGUUUGAUAUGAGGUGUGCAUAUAGUAUGGGACAUCCCUGAUAAGAACUGACUGUUGCUUUUUUCUACUUAUUAGAAAUGGGAUCCUUACAGCCAUUUAAAAUGUAAUAAUGUCCCAUAUCUCGAAAAUGCUGCAGUAAAAUGGUUUGAUAUGAGGUGUGCAUAUAGUAUGGGACGUCCCUGAUAAGAACUGACUAUUGUUUUUUUCUACUUAUUAGAAAUGGUGUCUUUAUAGCCCUCUAAAUCAUUGUAUUGUCCCAUAUCUGAAAAAUGCUGCAGUAAAAUGGUUUGAAAUGAGGUGUGCAUAUAGUAUGGGACAUCCCAGAUAAGAACUGACUGUUGUUUUUUUCUACUUAUUAGAAAUGAUGUCUUUUUAGCCCUCCAAAUCACCAUUUGGACCCAUAUCUCGAAAAUGCUGCAGUAAAAUGGUUUGAUAUGAGGUGUGCAUAUAGUAUGGCAUGUCCUUUAUAAGAACUGACCAUUGUUUUUUUCUACUUAUUAGAAAUUAUGUCUUUAUAGCCCUCCAAAUCACCAUUUGGACCCAUAUCUCAAAAAUGCUGCAGUAAAAUGGUUUGAUAUGAGGUGUGCAUAUAGUAUGGCAUAUCCUUUAUAAGAACUGACCAUUGUUUUUUUCUACUUAUUAGAAAUGGGGUCUUUAUAGCCCUUUAAAGUGUAAUAAUGUCCCAUAUCUCAAAAAUGCUGCAGUAAAAGGGUUUGAUAUGAGGUGUGCAUAUAGUAUGGGAUGUCCUUUAUAAGAACUGACCAUUGUUUUUUUCUACUUAUUAGAAAUGAUGUCUUUAUAGCCCUCCAAAUCACCAUUUGGACCCAUAUCUCAAAAAUGCUGCAGUAAAAGGGUUUGAUAUGAGGUGUGCAUAUAGUAUGGGAUGUCCUUUAUAAGAACUGACCAUUGUUUUUUUCUACUUAUUAGAAAUGAGAUCUUUAUGACCCUUUAAAUUGUAAUAAUGUCCCAUAUCUUGAAAAUGCUGCAGUAAAAUGGUUUGAUAUGAGGUGUGCAUAUAGUAUGGGACAUCCCUGAUAAGAACUGACCAUUGUUUUUUUCUACUUAUUAGAAAUGGGAUCUUUACAGCCAUUUAAAGUGUAAUAAUGUCCCAUAUCUCGAAAAUGCUGCAGUAAAAUGGUUUGAUAUGAGGUGUGCAUAUAGUAUGGCAUGUCCUUUAUAAGAACUGACCAUUGUUUUUUUCUACUUAUUAGAAAUUAUGUCUUUACAGCCCUCCAAAUCACCAUUUGGACCCAUAUCUCAAAAAUGCUGCAUUAAAAUUGUUUGAUAUGAUGUGUGCAUAUAAUAUGGGACGUCCCUGAUAAGAACUGACUAUUCUAUUUUUCUACUUAUUAGAAAUGGGAUCUUUAUAGCCCUUUAAAGUGUAAUAAUGUCCCAUAUCUCAAAAAUGCUGCAGUAAAAGGGUUUGAUAUGAGGUGUGCAUAUAGUAUGGGAUGUCCUUUAUAAGAACUGACCAUUGUUUUUUUCUACUUAUUAGAAAUGGGAUCUUUAUGACCCUUUAAAUUGUAAUAAUGUCCCAUAUCUUGAAAAUGCUGCAGUAAAAUGGUUUGAUAUGAGGUGUGCAUAUAGUAUGGGACAUCCCUGAUAAGAACUGACUGUUGCUUUUUUCUACUUAUUAGAAAUGGGAUCUUUACAGCCAUUUAAAGUGUAAUAAUGUCCCAUAUCUCGAAAAUGCUGCAGUAAAAUGGUUUGAUAUGAGGUGUGCAUAUAGUAUGGGAUGUCCCUGAUAAGAACUGAUUUUUGUUUUUUUCUACUUAUUAGAAAUGGGAUCUUUAUGACCCUUUAAAUUGUAAUAAUGUCCCAUAUCUUGAAAAUGCUGCUGUAAAAUGGUUUGAUAUGAUGUGUGCAUAUAGUAUGAAAUGUCCCUGAUAAGAAUUGACAAUUAUUUUUUUCUACUUAUUACAAAUGGGAUCUUUAUAGCCCUUUAAAGUGUAAUAAUGUCCCAUAUCUUGAAAAUGCUGCAGUAAAAUGGUUUGAUAUGAGGUGUGCAUAUAGUAUGGCAUGUCCUUUAUAAGAACUGACCAUUGUUUUUUUCUACUUAUUAGAAAUGGGGUCUUUGUAGCACUCUAAAUCACCAUUUGGACCCAUAUCUCAAAAAUGCUGCAGUAAAAGGGUUUGAUAUGAGGUGUGCAUAUAGUAUGGGACAUCCCUUAUAGGAACAUACCAUUGUUUUUAUCUACUUAUUAGAAAUGGGAUCUUUAUAGCCCUUUAAAAUAUAAUAAUGUCCCAUAUCUCGAAAAUUCUGCAGUAAAAUGGUUUGAUAUGAGGUGUGCAUAUAGUAUGGGAUGUCCCUGAUAAGAACUGACUUUUGUUUUUUUCUACUUAUUAGAAAUGGGAUCUUUACAGCCCUUUAAAGUGUAAAAAUGUCUCGUAUCUUAAAAAUGCUGCAGUAAAAUGGUUUCAUAUGAAGGGUGCAUAUAGUAUGGGACGUCCCUGAUAAGAACUGACUAUUGUUUUUUUCUACUUAUUAGAAAUGUUGUCUUUAUAGCCCUCUAAAUUGCCACAUGGACCCAUAUCUCAAAAAUGCUGCAGUAAAAUGGUUUGAUAUGAUUUGUGCAUAUAGUAUGGAAUGUCCUUUAUAAGAUCUGACCAUUGUUUUUUUCUACUUAUUAGAAAUGGGAUCUUCACAGCCCGUUAAAGUGUAAUAAUUUCCCAUUUCUGGAAAAAGCUGCAGUAAAAUGGUUUGAUAUGAGAUGUGCUCAUAGUAUGGGACGUCACUGAUGAGAACUGACUAUUAUUUUUUUCUACUUAUUAGAAAUGGGGUCUUUAUAGCACUCUAAAUUGCCAUAUGGACCCAUAUCUCAAACAUGCUGCAGUAAAAUGCUUUGAUAUGAGGUGUGCAUAUAGUAUGGCAUGUGCUUUAUAAGAACUGACCAUUGUUUUUUUCUACUUAUUAUAAAUGGUGUCUUUAUAGCCAUCGAAAUCACCAUUUGCACCCAUAUGUCAAAAAUGCUGCAGUAAAAGGUUUUGAUAUGAGGUGUGCAUAUAGUAUGGGAAAUCCCUUAUAGGAACAGACUAUUGUUUUUUUCUACUUAUUAGAAAUGGUGUCUUUAUAGCCCUUUAAAUCAUUGUAUUGUCCCAUAUAUUAAAAAUGCUGCAGUAAAAUGGUUUCAUAUGAAGUGUGCAUAUAGUAUGGGAUGUCCCUGAUAAGAACUGACUAUUGUUUUUUUCUACUUAUUAGAAAUGUUGACUUUAUAGCCCUCUAAAUCGCGAUAUGGACGCAUAUCUCAAAAAUGCUGCAGUAAAAUGGUUUGAUAUGAGGUUUGCAUAUA